NGGGGUAUAGUGCAAUGGUAGAAUAGCGAACUUCAAAUUCGCCGAUUCAUGUUCGAUUCGUGUGCCCUUG
rnacentral:tRNA from 1 species